rnacentral:rRNA from 1 species
CACAGGGACACAUUUGAAGUCUCGGAGCCGGGUGUUGGUUCCGGUAGCGAUCGAGGGAAAUUAGUACCGAAGUCCGGGAUGGAAGAUGGCGAGAAAAGCUGUGUGUAUUUCUGCGGUGCCCGUACCGCAAACCGACACAGGUAGGUAGGAAGAAGAUUCUAAGGCCAACGGGAGAAGGGUUGUUAAGGAACUCGGCAAAUUGACCCCGUAACUUCGGGAGAAGGGGUGCUCUAGAGAUAGAGCCGCAGAGAAUCGGCCCAAGCAACUGUUUACCAAAAACACAGGUUUGUGCUAAAUCGAAAGAUGACGUAUACGAGCUGACGCCUGCCCGGUGCUGGAAGGUUAAGAGGAGAUGUGCAAGCAUUGAAUCGAAGCCCCAGUGAACGGCGGCCGUAACAAUAACGGUCCUAAGGUAGCGAAAUUCCUUGUCAGGUAAGUUCUGACCCGCAUGAAAGGCGUAAUGAUUUGGGCACUGUCUCGACAGCCCGCCCGGCGAAAUUGUAGUACCGGUGAAGAUGCCGGUUACCCGCGACAAGACGGAAAGACCCCAUGGAGCUUUACUGUAGCCUAAUAUUGGGUUUCGAUGUUGCAUGCACAGGAUAGAUGGGACACUGGGAAGCAAGUGCUUUGGCAUUUGUGGAGUGGCCGUUGGGAUACCAUCCUUGCGAUAUUGGAAUUCUAACCUGCGCCUUUGAAUCAAGGCGGGGGACAUUGUUAGGUGGGCAGUUUGACUGGGGCGGUCGCCUCCUAAAGAGUAACGGAGGCGUUCAAAGGUUCGCUCAGCUUGAACGGAAAUCAAGCAAAAGAGUGCAAACGCAGAAGCGAGCCUAACUGCGAGACUGACGGGUCGAGCAGUAACGAAAGUUGGAGUUAGUGAUCCGGUGGUAUGUGAGUGGAAAUGCCAUCGCUCAACGGAUAAAAGUUACCCUGGGGAUAACAGGCUGAUCUCCCCCAAGAGUCCACAUCGACGGGGAGGUUUGGCACCUCGAUGUCGGCUCAUCGCAUCCUGGGGCUGUAUUCGGUCCCAAGGGUUUGGCUGUUCGCCAAUUAAAGCGGUACGCGAGCUGGGUUCAGAACGUCGUGAGACAGUUCGGUCCCUAUCUGUCGUGGGCGCAGGAUAUUUGAUGGGAGCUGUUCCUAGUACGAGAGGACCGGAGCGGACGUACCUCUGGCGCACCAGUUGUUCUGCCAAGGGCAUAGCUGGGCAACUAUGUACGGAUCGGAUAAACGCUGAAAGCAUCUAAGCGUGAAGCCGACCCAAAGAUAAGAUAUCCCAUUGUUUCAAACAAGUAAGACCCCUUGAAGACUACAAGGUUGAUAGGCAUGAUGUGUAAGUGGAGUGAUCCAUUCAGCAAGCAUGUACUAAUAGGUCGAGGGCUUGAUC